GUGAGGAAUUUUCCGCAAUGGGCGAAAGCCUGACGGAGCAAUGCCGCGUGAAGGAUGAAGGCCUAUGGGUUGUAAACUUCUUUUCUCAGAAAAGAAUUAUGACGGUAUCUGAGGAAUAAGCAUCGGCUAACUCUGUGCCAGCAGCCGCGGUAAGACAGAGGAUGCAAGCGUUAUCCGGAAUGAUUGGGCGUAAAGCGUCGGUAGGUUGUUUAAAAAGUAUUCUGUCAAAGAUUAGGGCUUAACUCUAGAUAGGAAGAAUAAACUUUUAAGCUAGAGUUUGGUAGAGGCAGAGGGAAUUCCCGGUGGAGCGGUGAAAUGCGUAGAUAUCGGGAGGAACACCAAAGGCGAAGGCACUCUGCUGGGCCAAUACUAACACUGAGAGACGAAAGCGAGGGGAGCAAAUGGGAUUAGAUACCCCUGUAGUCC
rnacentral:rRNA from 1 species